rnacentral:rRNA from 1 species
CACGUAGGGCGCGAGCGUGUCCGGAAUUAUUGGGCGUAAAGAGCUCGUAGGCGGUUUGUCGCGUCGACUGUGAAAGCCCGGGGCUCAACUCUGGGCGUGCGGUCGAUACGGGCAUCACUUGAGUUCGGCAGGGGAGACUGGAAUUCCUGGUGUAGCGGUGAAAUGCGCAGAUAUCAGGAGGAACACCGAUGGCGAAGGCAGGUCUCUGGGCCACUACUGACG